CUUCCCGGCGGGGGGCGGCCGCCUCGGCCGGUGCCUGACUCCGCGGCGGGCCCGAGGGGCUGCUCCGCCUCGCAGAAGCCUGGCGGGUUCAGUGCCUUUGGCCAGUGAGAUAAGAAGGUACCCGGGACUUGUUAAUGGCAGGGGAGGCUUCGGGUCAAUGAAGAAAGCUAAGCCCUGCAGAAGGUGAAUUGCAGACACAGGUGCCCCGAGCGCUUCUCUGUUGGUCAGUUCCAAAGGAAGGAGAGCCUUGCCCAAUUUGGUCCACAGACUGAGGCGAAACCUUAUUACUGCUUAAAAAGAUGACGUAAAAAAAGGUCUUCUUUAAAUUGGUUUCACGAUCUUCAUUGACAAAUAGUUCUGUUGGGGAAGGAGGGAAGAAGCAACAGAGCUGACAGCUGAGUGGGGGGUACCCUUUACAAUCAAUGUUUAGAAUUUGAAAUUAAGAUUUUGAGGCCUAUAAGGUUUGCAUUUGAGCUAAAGACUUGGGAGCUGUCUCAAUACAGGGCAGAGAGUCUUCUGUAGAGCAGCAUCUCUACAAAAGAAGAACAUCUUUGGUGUUCCAGACAAUCACCCGCAAGAUAUACCUAUGAGAGAAGAUGUUUGGGGAAAGAGAAUUGCAUUGCCUUUGUCAGGGCUGCCAGAUGGUGUGUAGUACAUACAGAU